CCGGCCCCCCGCUCCCGGCCAGCGCUCCCCGCGCCCCGCGCCCCAGCCCCGGGCCUUACCGUGCGCGGGGCAGCCCCGGCAGGCCCAGUCGGGCUGGAAGCCGCCGCUGGCUCAGAGCCGCAUCCCGGCCCGCGGACGCAGGGGGCGCGCGGCCGGUCCCCGGAGGCGCUGGGUCCAGGCCGAGGAUGGUUUUGCUCCCCGCUCCGCUCCGCAUUUAGGAGGUGGGAGGAGCGCGCGGCGAUGCGCACAGGAAAUCUGAUAGGUGAGGAGGCCGGCGGGCCGCGCAGGGCGGCGCGGGCUGGGGGACGCGGCGGGCGGCUCCGGGAGGCGACGGGACCCCCAGGCCGGCAGCCGAGUGAAGAGGCAGGAACUGUCUACAAAUGCUCCGGCUCCGAAGCCCCGAGGGAAAGAGCAUCUUUCACGGAGCACCAGGAAUUGACGACGGUGGAAUUUGCUCAGAUCCCCUGAGGCCGGUUCUUUGAGUUUCUGUCUGGCCCUCCGGGAGAACCGUCCCAAAGUUAACUUUGAAAACACUCACAGGAGAGGGAAGGCUGUGGGGUCCUUCGCUUCUCAAACCCCAGAUGCCCCCGGAAAGAACACCGCCCCCGACCACCACCACAACCAGAUGUUUUUAAAAAGAGAUGCUAAGCAAAAGGCCUGAUUAUGAGGAAUGAGCCAAAGUCAUGCAAGGCGUGGGGCGCUAUGGGACUGCGCAGUGACGACCCAGUGAAGUAGAUGCCUUGACGAUUCCCAUUUCACGGAUGAGACGACUCCGGCACAGAGAAGUCAGAGGGCCUGUCCUGGGUCACACAGCCACAGGCGGCCCCCAGAACGGGACUUCAGGGUGCACCACUGCACCCCAGCAGAGACCUCCGCCUGGCACACAGGGAAUGCUGGAGCAAUACUUAAAUAGCAUGGCAGCUUUUCGUGUUUGGAAGCCUUCAGAAUCAUUUCCUACCCUCUCAAGGAACCCAUUCUUUAGAGGUACACACCGUUCCUGUCAGAGAGGCUAUCUUCCUAGUGCUAAAUGAUUUUUUGAUGCACUGAAAAUUAAAUUCACACUCAAAUUUCUGCAUUUGAGGAGAUUUUCCUGUACGCUGAGCUCUGUCAAAAGAGGUAUAUUGAAGAGAGGGUAGUUCUGGGACCAUUUGCAAGACAGCGCAUUGAUUGGAAGCCUAUACAUUCUGGAGUGUUGGCUUAAUAUGUUGAUCAUCCUUUGAGGUGGGGCACAAGGAAAAAUAAACUAUUUCUCCUUCAGGAACAUACAGUGGCAUAAGAGAGACCAACUUGGUGAUAACUGAUCAUAGGAUUAGACCAAGGUGCAGAAGCAAACAGAACCUCCAUAAAAUGUAAUGAUGUCUUGUGCCUGCAAUCCUAGUGCUUUCAGAGGCCAAGGUGGGAAGAUUCCUUGAGCUCAGGAGUUCGAGACCAGCCUGAACAACACAACAAGACCUCGUAUCUAUGAAAAAAUAAAAAUAAUAAAAUUAGCUGCACACCUAUUUGGUGGCACACACCUGUGGUCCCAGGUACUCGGGAGGCUGAGAUGAGAUCAUUUGAGCCCAGGAGAUCAAGGCUGCAAUCAGCUGUGAUCAUGCCACUGCCCUCCAGCCUGGACAACUGAGCGAGACCCUGUCUCCAAAAAAAGUAAAAUUAAAAAAAAAAUUAAAAUGUGAUGGAGUGCAGAGGAAAGGUCAGUUGAUUCUCACUAAGGGUUGGACUUCAUUGGUGAUUUUCUGUCUUUUUAAGAGUUAGAAACUCCUUUUUCAAAUGAAACGUGUAUGGACCUCCAAUGUCUUCAGCCAGGUCAGAGAUGUUUUGUUGGGGACGGGGGCUUCCAGCCCACUGAACACCCCUGUCCUGCCAUAGCCCCAGAGGUACCACCUUGGGCUCUGCCCAGUGCUGCUUCAACACCUCCAGAUGGGAGGAGAGGGACCUUUCCUUCCAGUUCUAACCCCCACAUCAGUCAAGGGAACCCUGUACAAAAUGCUGAGAAAGCCAAAGAAAGUCAGAGUGCAGGCAGCUUCUUGUGACUUACUGCGGGGGCUCCUUGUGUCUCCCCUCCUCCUGCCUGUUAGACUUCUCCUUGCUGGCUGGGCCCACGCGUGGAUGCACGGGUGCGGAGGAUGGGAACCCAGGAUCACUCAGCAACGUGCUUCUUGUCAGCUUCCUGCAAAGGGGAGAAAUCACGCGUCAACCAGAAGCUUUUAAGUGAAAAUCUGAGGACCUCCUACCUUCAUCCACCAGAAUGCUGCAGCUUUCAAAGUACUUUCUAGACAAUGUCAUUCAAGCUUGUGAUAAUCCCACUGGGUGGGAUGAGUGGGAGGUGUUAUUAUUUCACAGAUGAAAUUGAGGUUCGUUGGUGACUGAGCACCUCUUGUCACCUCACUGUCCCAUGUCCACAAUGGAGAUGCAGGAAAGGUGCUUUGAACUUUGGUCAGCACCUAGUAAGCCCUCAGUGCACGUUAGCACUGGUCAUUCGGUAGUGACCCAGGAGCUCAUCACUAGGAAGUGGCGGACUGGGAAGCAGAAUCAGACCUCCAAAUUCCCCCCAGGACCUGUCGCUCACUCUGCUAUUUGAGUGUCCAGCCCAGAAGCAUUUUCGGAUCUCCAAAAUAAAGUCAAAAGUGCUAGCAAUGCUUGGUGAAUUAAUAACAUGUGAUGUUGGCCAGGCACAGCGGCUCACGCCUAUAAUCCCAGCACUUUGGGAGGCCGAGGCGGGUGGAUCACGAAGUAAGGAGAUCGAGACCUUCUUGGCUAACACGGUGAAACCCCGUCUCUACUAAAAAUACAAAAAAUUAGCCGGGCGCGGUGGCGGGCGCCUGUAGUCCCAGCUACUGGGGAGGCUGAGGCAGGAGAAUGGCGUGAACCUGGGAGGCGGAGCUUGCAGUGAGCUGAGAUGGCACCACUGCAGUCCGGCCUGGGCGAAAGAGUGAGACUCCAUCUCAAAAAUUAAUUAAUUAAUUAAUUAAUUAAAAAAUAAAACAACACUGUGAUGUUAAG
rnacentral:lncRNA from 1 species